UACGGGAGUGGCAAGCGUUAUCCGGAAUUAUUGGGCGUAAAGCGUCCGCAGGCGGUCUGUCAAGUCUGCUGUUAAAGCGUGGAGCUUAACUCCAUUUCGGCAGUGGAAACUGACAGACUAGAGUGUGGUAGGGGCAGAGGGAAUUCCCGGUGUAGCGGUGAAAUGCGUAGAUAUCGGGAAGAACACCAGUGGCGAAGGCGCUCUGCUGGGCCAUAACUGACGCUCAUGGACGAAAGCCAGGGGAGCGAAAGGG
rnacentral:rRNA from 1 species